GGAAUAUUGCACAAUGGGCGCAAGCCUGAUGCAGCCAUGCCGCGUGUAUGAAGAAGGCCUUCGGGUUGUAAAGUACUUUCAGUGGGGAGGAAGGCGAUGAAGUUAAUAACUUCGUCGAUUGACGUUACCCGCAGAAGAAGCACCGGCUAACUCCGUGCCAGCAGCCGCGGUAAUACGGAGGGUGCAAGCGUUAAUCGGAAUUACUGGGCGUAAAGCGCACGCAGGCGGUCUGUCAAGUCGGAUGUGAAAUCCCCGGGCUCAACCUGGGAACUGCAUUCGAAACUGGCAGGCUAGAGUCUUGUAGAGGGGGGUAGAAUUCCAGGUGUAGCGGUGAAAUGCGUAGAGAUCUGGAGGAAUACCGGUGGCGAAGGCGGCCCCCUGGACAAAGACUGACGCUCAGGUGCGAAAGCGUGGGGAGCAAACAGGAUUAGAUACCCUAG
rnacentral:rRNA from 1 species